GGAGAGAUGACCGAGUGGUUGAAGGUGCUGCUCUCGAAAAGCAGUGUGCCGGCAACGGUACCGAGGGUUCGAAUCCCUCUCUCUCCGCCA
rnacentral:tRNA from 1 species